ensembl:lncRNA
CCCGCACGGGCACGGGGGGGAGCAGGUUCGCGUCAUGUAGGUACGCGUGAGUGCACUGAGCCCGCUCCUCUGUCGUCUUCGGUUAGUACAAAGAGAGCCACCGGUACACGUAAUGCCUGAAAGGCACCUGAGUCCCCACGGGGCUGACAAGCCUGUGCGCUAAGUUUGCUGUUCUAAAUCUUGCUAUUACAAAGAUUUCAGCAGUAGUGAAUAAGCCUGACAAGACCAUUUCGCAAUCUCCUUCUCAGGCAGAGGCGGAUGGGAAAGGGAACAUGUGCAUUCUGCACGUGGGCAUCCUUGGACCGACAUCAGCCAAAGCCCCGUCCUGAGAGACCAGGGCAUGGUUCCCCACCUCGGUGCUUUGCCUCAGCCAAACGCCUGACUGCUCGGUCAGGCAGGUGGAGACACCAAAAGGAUGCGAAAAGCUGCCCUGAGCUCCCAGGGAGAGAAGAAAAGCAAUGAGACCUAUCUCAGAUUACUAAAAUGGAGAGACGUGGGCACUGUUUAAUGGCUACCUCAUGCAGCACGCUGAAGUUUGAAAGCAGCGAGGUAGACUCACUUUUCCUCAGGUGGCUGUAAUCACAGGAUGAUGGACCUUAAUGAUGGAGAACACUUGUGACCUGGCCAGUGAAGGCAUUUUCCCUCUGCAGGAGACUGAACAGAAGAAGGAACCUACAGAAGCCGCUGGAGUCCCCUUUCAGCACUUUUGGAGUACAAUCUUUGCCAAUAGGGACAAACUUGUUGUUGCCUGUGGCUGGAACUGGUGACAAGAAGUCUGCAUACCAGUGCACAUAGAGUGAGGCACACCAGUUGAACUGAAAGGAGAUCAAGCUCAGAUACGCCCUGACAUCCUCUUGCAUGGCUGAAAUGAGGUGAUAUGAAGAAGAAGCACUGACGGUCUUGGCCCCUCAGCUCAGGUUUAUGAGCCUCUGGGGCAGCUUGACAGAGACAGGCACUGGCACUGCAAGGAGAAAGUCAUAUUUUCCAGGGAAAAAAAGUCAUUAAAGAACAAAGUGCCGUAAGGAGAGCCAGAUUCCUGGGGAACUACGGCAAUGUGGAGACAAAGCAUUUAUAAGCAAAACUGAAAUGGAGUUCAUCUGCAGCCGGACUGAAAGUGAUGCAGUGAAUGAACCGACAAUAUCCACCUGCUCCAGAUGUGGAGAGGCAGUGGAUGACCAAUGCUGGGCUGCCCAGUUGCCUUCUGAGGUAGCUGGCACAACCGGGAUGGCUCAUACCCAGACUGCGUCCUGUCAACAGAAAGGCAAAUGGGGAACAAAUAGAUUCAUAGUUUUUGCCCAUUGGUUGCCGAUUACCUGUGUUUGAAAUGCUGCUCUUACUACUCACCUCCCCAACCACUCGCAGUGCCUCAGGAUUCCUUUCUUGAUAUUGCUGAAGCCUCUCAAGGCCAAUACUGGAAAAUGGAGCUGGGACACAGUGGCACCGAUACAUCUGCUUCUUGUGACCAUCAUUUUAUCUUGAGAAAGAUUUAAGGGAAAGAGAUGUAUGCAAUGCUGCCUGAAGACAUCCAGUGCUGGACAGCAGAGAAUUCCGUCAGAAGAAAAUAAAAAUAUAAAAUGAGAGAAAUAAAGAAUGAGAAAGAAAUGAACCUGUGGAAGAUUGAGUUCUGAAGGCUGGAAAGACCCGCUUGUAUCAUCCUGCCUGACACCCUUUCCAACAGCAGGCAAGGAGCCACGUUCAGCAACCUCCUGCCUGAUUCAGAGAUGUGUAGAUGAGCAGAAGUGUAUGAUUUUAAAAUUCCUUAUCAUCCAGAGUAUAAAGAUGAACAGGAAGGACCUCUCCUACGAAGAAAGGUUGGGGAAGUUGGGCUUGUUCAGCCCAGAGAAGAGAAGGCUCUGAGGAGAUCUCAUUGCGGCCUUCCUGUACUUGAUGGGAUCUUAAAAGCAGGAGGGGGACCAACUUUUUGCACUCUCUGAUAGUGACAGGACAAAGAAGAAUGACUUCAAACUAGAAGAGGGGAAAUUUGGGUUAGAUGUUAGGUAGAAGUUCUUUACUCAGAGAGUGGUAAGCCACUGGCACAGGAUGUCCCCCUGGAAGCAUUCAAGACUAGGCUGGAUGGGAUCCUGGGUAGGCUGAUGUGGGUGGCAACCCUGCCCAUGGAAAGGGGCUUGGAAGUGGAUGAUCUUUAAGAUCCCUUCCAACCCAAACCAUUCUAUGAUUCGACGAUUUGAAGACACCUCCUAGGUCUGGGGUUGCACCAGUCUCCUUUCUUCACUUACGAUCUGAAAUAAAAAUAAAUCUUUACUCCUCCAUCUCACUCCUUGAAGCAAAAGUGAGAAGUUUCCUAUGAAUUUAAAUGCAUGAUAUGCAAGGAUGACAGCUGCAUCAUAUUAUUUCAGUUAAUAACGUGCAUAUACUACACUUAGAAAACGUAGCCUUUUAUUGAUUUAAUCUUCUGGCAGAUCAGCACUUAUGUUGUGGCUAAAACUGUCUGCCAGAAAGGACUGUUCCUCCUCUCUGUCUUGUGUCUGGUUUCGACAGUAACGUAUACACUUACAUCUUCCUUAGGCUAGUAAAGAGCAGAAUCAUUUAAUCAUUUUCUUUCCAGUAAUUCAGGCCCUUUCCUCCCUCUGAACUUUUGUGUUGUAAUAGCUGAACCAUGAGUCACCAUUAUUUUUCUUUCAGUCUUUGCUAGGUACAAUGCUGGCUGUGUACCCUUUGACCACACCUUCUUUUUCUCUUCUUUCUCCCUUUUGUUAUUCCAUAACUAACUUUCUGGUCUAGACAUAAAGUCUUAGGAGACAUGUAUGGUGGUUUAUUUACCCCAAAUAACUUUUUCUCCCAACUCUUUGGAUAAAUACAAGUAAAUAAAAACAUAAUCUGUAAAUAGUGGUUUAAAA